AUUGAACGCUGGCGGCAGGCCUAACACAUGCAAGUCGAACGAGCGGCGGACGGGUGAGUAAUGUCUGGGAAACUGCCUGAUGGAGGGGGAUAACUACUGGAAACGGUAGCUAAUACCGCAUACCAUCAGAUGUGCCCAGAUGGGAUUAGCUAGUAGGUGGGGUAAGGGCUCACCUAGGCGACGAUCCCUAGCUGGUCUGAGAGGAUGACCAGCAACACGGGAACUGAGACACGGUCCAGACUCCUACGGGAGGCAGCAGUGGGGAAGAUUGCACAAUGGGCGCAAGCCUGAUGCAGCCAUGCCGCGUGUAUGAAGAAGGCCUUCGGGUUGUAAAGUACUUUCAGCGAGGAGGCGUUACUCGCAGAAGAAGCACCGGCUAACUCCGUGCCAGCAGCCGCGGUAAUAC
rnacentral:rRNA from 1 species